UCUUUACUUGUCGUGGGAUGUGGGUGCCUAUGUUUAGUGUUUCUCGCGUGUGGCGUAAGACUAUCCGGCUCCACUUGUGUUGAGUCGUUACUAGCUGUCUUAUUUCCAGCUGAUGGCACGCUAACUAGAUUUUGGCCUGAGGUUCCGUUUUGGAUAGUAUUAUCGGGCACUCUAUCGAUAGUUACAUUAGAAGGUGUUGUUAUAUUAGCAGGUGCAGCGGCAGUAUCAUUAGGUGCUGCAGCAGUAUUAUUAGGUGCUGCGGCAGCAUUGGCAGGUGCUGCGGCAGCACUGGCAGGUGCUGCGGCAGCAUUGGCAGGUGCUGCGGCAGCACUGGCAGGUGCUGCGGCAGCAUUGGCAGGUGCUGCGGCAGCAUUGGCAGGUGCUGCGGCAGUAUUGGCAGGUGCUGCGGCAGCAACAGCAGGUUGCGGUGCUAAAACUGACAUAAUUCCCAUUAGAAGCGCUUCUUCUUGGUUCAUUACUGAUCCCGGCCCUGGUGGUGAAGGUGCUACAGCAGGUGCUCUAUCAGGUGUUUCGGCAGGUGCUGGGAGUGCUACAGUAGGUAAUGCAGGCGUUUCAGUAGCUGGCGCUGCAGCAGGUGUUCCAGCAGCAGAUCCGUUAGCAGGUGCUGGAGGUGCUACAUCAGGUAAUGCAGGCUUUCCAGCAACUGGCGCUGCAGCAGGUGGUUUAUCAGGUGCUACAGCAGGUGUUCCAGCAGCAGAUCCGUUAGCAGGUGCCGGAGGUGCUAAAUUAGGUAAUGGAGGAUUUUCAUCAUCUGGCGCUACAGCAGGUGCUUUCACAGGUGUUCCGGCAGUUGUUCCAGCAGGUGAUCCAGCAGGUGCUGGAGGUACUACCUCAGGUAUUGCAGCAGGUGUUCCAGCAGCAGAUCCGUUAGCAAGAGCUAGAGGUGCUACAUCAGGUAAUGCAGGCUUUCCAGCAACUGGCGCUGCAGCAGGUGGUUUAUCAGGUGCUACAGCAGGUGUUCCAGCAGCAGAUCCGUUAGCAAGAGCUAGAGGUGCUACAUCAGGUAAUGCAGGCUUUCCAGCAACUGGCGCUGCAGCAGGUGGUUUAUCAGGUGCUACAGCAGGUGUUCCAGCAGCAGAUCCGUUAGCAGGUGCCGGAGGUGCUAAAUUAGGUAAUGGAGGAUUUUCAUCAUCUGGCGCUACAGCAGGUGCUUUCACAGGUGUUCCGGCAGUUGUUUCAGCAGGUGUUCCGGCAGGUGAUCCAGCAGGUGCUCCAGUAGGUGCUGGGGGUGUGCCUGCAGCAGGUGGCGCACCAGCAAUUUGCGGUCCAACAGGUGCUACGUUAGGUAUUGCAACCGGUGUAGGGACUUUGAGUGAAUCAUUUUGUGCCGCUUCCAAGAUCAUUUUUCCGGCGGUAACCAUUGCAUCUUCCAUUGCAGUAUUGGCAUGGCAUAGGGAUGCGAACCAUAAAGUGACACCAGCCGUAACAACUAGGUAA
rnacentral:lncRNA from 1 species